UGUUUCGGCAAGGGGGUCAUCCCGACUUACCAACCCGAUGCAAACUGCGAAUACCGGAGAAUGUUAUCACGGGAGACACACGGCGGGUGCUAACGUCCGUCGUGAAGAGGGAAACAACCCAGACCGCCAGCUAAGGUCCCAAAGUCAUGGUUAAGUGGGAAACGAUGUGGGAAGGCCCAGACAGCCAGGAUGUUGGCUUAGAAGCAGCCAUCAUUUAAAGAAAGCGUAAUAGCUCACUGGUCGAGUCGGCCUGCGCGGAAGAUGUAACGGGGCUAAACCAUGCACCGAAGCUGCGGCAGCGACGCUGAUGCGUUGUUGGGUAGGGGAGCGUUCUGUAAGCCUGCGAAGGUGUGCUGUGAGGCAUGCUGGAGGUAUCAGAAGUGCGAAUGCUGACAUAAGUAACGAUAAAGCGGGUGAAAAGCCCGCUCGCCGGAAGACCAAGGGUUCCUGUCCAACGUUAAUCGGGGCAGGGUGAGUCGACCCCUAAGGCGAGGCCGAAAGGCGUAGUCGAUGGGAAACAGGUUAAUAUUCCUGUACUUGGUGUUACUGCGAAGGGGGGACGGAGAAGGCUAUGUUGGCCGGGCGACGGUUGUCCCGGUUUAAGCGUGUAGGCUGGUUUUCCAGGCAAAUCCGGAAAAUCAAGGCUGAGGCGUGAUGACGAGGCACUACGGUGCUGAAGCAACAAAUGCCCUGCUUCCAGGAAAAGCCUCUAAGCAUCAGGUAACAUCAAAUCGUACCCCAAACCGACACAGGUGGUCAGGUAGAGAAUACCAAGGCGCUUGAGAGAACUCGGGUGAAGGAACUAGGCAAAAUGGUGCCGUAACUUCGGGAGAAGGCACGC
rnacentral:rRNA from 1 species